UACGGAGGGUGCAAGCGUUAUCCGGAUUUACUGGGUUUAAAGGGUGCGUAGGUGGGCCUGUAAGUCAGAGGUGAAAUCUUCAAGCUUAACUUGGAAACUGCCAUUGAUACUAUAGGCCUUGAAUUAUCUGGAGGUAAGCGGAAUAUGUCAUGUAGCGGUGAAAUGCUAGAGAUGACAUAGAACACCCAUUGCGAAGGCAGCUUACUACGGAUUGAUUGACACUGAGGCACGAAAGCGUGGGGAUCAAACAGG
rnacentral:rRNA from 1 species